CCCGCCGUGAAUGCUGCACGUCGCAUUGAAUUGAUAUAAGAAAUCAAAUCGCGUAUUGUGCAGGAAAACAGUCCAAACGACGCUUUCUAUGUAUUGUUUGUACACGAUAAAUCCCCCCAAAAAAAUGAACCGAUUAUGUAAAUAGAUGAACACAAUAUUUAUACGGAAAAAAAAUAUUUGGAUUGUGUUUUUUCGGUCGACACAAAAGGCCAACCAUAAGUCGCAAGCAGUAUAUUUAGUACCAAAAGCUGAACAAGUCGACUGUUGUCCAAGAACCAACUCCACAAUUUAAAUAAAUAUGAAACUCUUCUGUUUAUUAUUAUGUUUGUUUUUUGUGGAUGUAUUGGCAAAUGAGGAUGAGUCUGUUUAUAUAAAUUAUGUUUUCAAGACAACUGCCACCUUAAGAGAAGCUUAUUUAAUGGAAGAUUUUAGGAUUCAUGCAGGAGAUAAAUCUAGAAAAAAUGGAUUGGAGCUUGUAAUUGAGACAAUGAAUGAUGCCACGGAUUUCUGCAGAUAUAAUUUUUUGCUUGCUGUACCAGGUAAUAGUUUUUGUUGAAUUUUAUGAAAAAAUUUCCAAUAUUUCAUUCCUAUCGAAUUUUUCAACAAGACUCUCAUCGUAUUGAAUAUACAGUGGAGCAUAUUUCUUCCGAGCUACCAAUACACAUGAUUUUUUUACUUUGAAAUUCGACUUCCUGUUCAUACUUCAUAACAGAAUAGAAAAUUAAAUGCAAUAUCAUUAAUUUAUGUGUUGUUAAUUUCAGACCAUUUAGAAAUUGUCCCCAGAAUAGAGGCACUUCCAGCAUUUGGUGACAAAACACAAAGUGGGGCAACAUUAGAAAAAAUUGCAAGCAAGAGAAGACGACUUGUUGCUUGGACUUUAAAAAAUGUAAUCGGACGUCGUAUAAUAGAAACUGUGCAAGAUGGAGAUGAUGAAGCUUCUUUAUUACUCAAGUGUCGUUUUCUUGGAGUAUUCGCUAGUACACAAACUCCAUCAACAUACAUAACAAAAGUUGAUAUUGACUUACCUGCCCGUACCUGCAUCUUCACGGAUAUUAAUGAAGGCAUAAAAAGAUACAACACAGCUGAUGUUGUAUUUCUUGAGAAACUAAUACGAGAGGGUCAUCCACAAACUGCACCUUAUUAAUCUAGCGUUAGUUAAACACUGGCAACUGUAUUCUGUUCAUUGCACAAUAAAUUCAAAUUUAUCUUAUUAUUAUCACUAUUAUACAUUAUAAAAUCUUUAAUUGUAGUAAAAUAUUAACAUUUACUUAAGCUGACCGGAAAAGAACCGUCGGUGGAUUUUUUCAAUAACAUAUACCACAUAAUACAUUUUUUUGUUAGUUCAUAAUAUUAUAUGUUUAUUUCUGUUUUAUGACAUGUCUACCAAUAAAGUAAAUA